rnacentral:rRNA from 1 species
CUACGGGGGGCAGCAGUGGGGAAUAUUGCACAAUGGGCGCAAGCCUGAUGCAGCCAUGCCGCGUGUGUGAAGAAGGCCUUCGGGUUGUAAAGCACUUUCAGUUGUGAGGAAGGUGGUGUCGUUAAUAGCGGCAUCAUUUGACGUCAGCAACAGAAGAAGCACCGGCUAACUCCGUGCCAGCAGCCGCGGUAAUACGGAGGGUGCGAGCGUUAAUCGGAAUUACUGGGCGUAAAGCGCAUGCAGGUGGUUUGUUAAGUCAGAUGUGAAAGCCCGGGGCUCAACCUCGGAACUGCAUUUGAACUGGCAGACUAGAGUACUGUAGAGGGGGGUAGAAUUUCAGGUGUAGCGGUGAAAUGCGUAGAGAUCUGAAGGAAUACCGGUGGCGAAGGCGGCCCCCUGGACAGAUACUGACACUCAGAUGCGAAAGCGUGGGGAGCAAACAGGAUUAGAUACCCGAGUAGUC